GGUUCAGGUGCUGCAUGGCUGUCGUCAGCUCGUGCCGUGAGGUGUUGGGUUAAGUCCCGCAACGAGCGCAACCUCGUACUUAGUGCCACCAUUAAGUUGGGCACUCUAGGUAGACUGCCGGGCGUUAAGCCGGAGGAAGUGGGGACGACGUCAAGUCAUCAUGGCCCUUAUGUCCAGGGCACACACGUGCUACAAUGGGCGGCACAAAGGGUCGCGAACCCGCGAGGGGGAGCCAAUCCCAAAAAGCCGUUCUCAGUUCGGAUUGGAGUCUGCAACUCGACUCCAUGAAGUUGGAAUCGCUAGUAAUCGCGGAUCAGCACGCCGCGGUGAAUACGUUCCCGGGCCUU
rnacentral:rRNA from 1 species